UUUUUUGAGACUUUAUCGGAGUAUAUCGAAAGCUCUAAGAAGAGUCACGAUUUCGAGAUCAUUUCUGGUCGGCUAGCCAUGAUUGUGUUUGCUGCAACUGUAGGAACAGAAUUGGUGACUGGAAACUCAGUUUUCAGAAAGAUGGAUUUACGAGGGAUUGCUGAAGCAGGUGGUGUGUGCUUAGGAGCAGUGACCUGCGCUGCAAUUUUCGCUUGGUUCUCCAGUGCUCGCAAUAGAGUAGGCCGUAUCUUCACUACAAGUUGCAAUACAUUCAUUGAUUCACUAAUUGAUGAGAUUGUGGAUGGCCUAUUCUACGAAAGUGAGAUUAGUGAUUGGACUGAUGAUAUCUGAACUCUCUGAAAAAACAUAAACCCAAAUUGUAGUAGCUAUAUAUUAAAAAGGUAGAGAAAGCAUGGCAUCCAUACAAGGAUUCAGGUUCACCUUUUCAAGAGUGGCAUGAAUAUGUUACUGAAAUUAGCCAUUGCCCCAUGUAAACUAUA
rnacentral:misc_RNA from 1 species